UACGGGGGGAGCAAGCGUUGUUCGGAUUUACUGGGCGUAAAGGGCGCGUAGGCGGCCGAUCAAGUCGGGGGUGAAAGCCUGUGGCUCAACCACAGAAUUGCCUUCGAUACUGGUUGGCUUGAGACCGGAAGAGGUAAGUGGAACUGCGAGUGUAGAGGUGAAAUUCGUAGAUAUUCGCAAGAACACCAGUGGCGAAGGCGGCUUACUGGUCCGGUUCUGACGCUGAGGCGCGAAAGCGUGGGGAGCAAACAGG
rnacentral:rRNA from 1 species